CUCAUUCAAAGAGUGCGUAAUAGCUCACUGGUCGAGUGAUCCUGCGCCGAAGAUUUCCGGGGCUAAAACUUACUACCGAAGCUACGGCAUCAGUAAUGAUGGGGAGGGGAGCUUCCCAUACGGGUUGAAGCAUGACCGUAAGGACAUGUGGACAGUAUGGGAGUGAGAAUGUUGGCAUGAGUAGCGAGAUGUGGGUGAGAAUCCCACAGGCCGUAAACCCAAGGUUUCCAGGGGAAGGUUCGUCCGCCCUGGGUUAGUCGGGACCUAAGCUGAGGCCGAAAGGCG
rnacentral:rRNA from 1 species